GGCCCGGGCCGGCGGGCUCUACGACGGGCACCGGGUUCCCAGCUGGUUCCCCGUCAGUCAGUGGUAUCUUCUGCUGUCGAAGUGGCGGCAUGCCCGCGCAGCCCGCGCCAGAGGCAGUCUCGUGAAUCCGCCGGCGCGCUGCCGCUGCCGCGCUCCCCGUCACGCCAAUCGAGUGUCGUGUGUCGUGUUCUGUACUGACCAGCGGCCCGCGCCGCGUCCUGCGUCCUGCCGCGUUUCGAACCGCCAAACGCUGACUGCGCGGCUUCGCGGCUUCGCCAGGCUUGGCGCGCCACCAGCCACAAGGCCGCGCGGGCCGCGGACGACGCGACCAAGAGCGUCGGCAUGGUCGGCGCCUCGGGAAUGCGGUGACUGACGGUGACAGCCCAGCCGCGGGCAUUGCCGGCGCUGCCGGUGAAGUGCAGUGAGAAGGUAGUGAGUGAGUCGCAGUGCAGUGCGCUUGACGUCGAGUGGACACACUUUUGGGAUUACCACAUCGAGCAUCAACAGCGCGGUGACCGUCAUCCGCACAGCUGGUUGCCGUGGGCGAUGACGUCCUCACGGUGUGCCGCCCUGGCCGUCCCGCCCUGCUGCCCGCCAAGCGUGCGACGCGUGCCGCGGGAGGAGAGCCACCAGCCCUCGCUGCACACCGGCUGACGACUCGAUCGUCGCCACGCGCCUCGCCGCGCGCCUCCCCCCUCGGCCCGAGGGGUCUGCUUCUCGUGCAGCCGGCGUACCAGCGCCAAGACACCGCGGCAGAGGGCAGCCACCAGGGCCGCCUCUCCGCAACGCCGCCGCCAAAAUUGUGGUGGCAACUUUAAACCUGACGCCCAGGCGGCCCCAUGAGUGCUGCGGCGAGUCCCCGUCCGGCGCCGCGCCCGGCCAGCCCGGCCCCGG